rnacentral:rRNA from 1 species
AUGCUUACAGGAGCAUUGGGUUGGGGACGCCUGGUGGGACACCACGUGAAGAGACAUCUUCUCCACCAGCGAUAUCAGCCGGACGCUCAUUCGUAUCCAUCAUAUAUAUGUGGCCCGCAGCAUUCAUACGAGAUGUAUUGUCAUGGGGACGAUUUACAGACCCCCCAUUGUUACUUGGUAUCACAGGAACCGCAUCAGCGUUGCCAAAAUUAUUUUCGGUGCAAUCCCCUGCAUGUGCAUUUUCAUUUUGGCGAACUGAUUCGUGUUCCGGUUGGACGCUACGAGUGUCAUCGCGUGCAGCUACAUCCUGGGCAACGUCUUCUCGAAUAUGUUCGUCUGGCCAUGUGGAUUUUCAGGAUAAACUUAUCAAUAUGA